rnacentral:tmRNA from 1 species
GGGGGUGUCAUGGUUUCGACGGGGGUGUAGAGGCAGAGAUAGCGGGCGGAUGCGCCUACCAUCCUAAAAAUGGGCAACCUUAUAAAUUAAAGAACAACAACAAGACUGUUCUUCUCGCUGCUUAAAUAGCGAGCGUCGCCCCCGGGAGGCCCACGGCCCGGGCGGCGGCGUCGAUGAGUGGGGAACGUGCGCGCGGUAAGCUUUGCCCGCGCCAUGAACGAUGAAGCUACCAAAUCCCGCAGCAUGAAGGCCUGCGGCGGGACGCGGGAAUGUAAAUGACCCUCUGCGCCCGGAGAGGUCUCUGUCAAAGCGCUUUCGGACACGGGUUCAAUUCCCGUCACCUCCACCA